rnacentral:rRNA from 1 species
UGGGGAAUAUUGCACAAUGGGCGCAAGCCUGAUGCAGCCAUGCCGCGUGUGUGAAGAAGGCCUUCGGGUUGUAAAGCACUUUCAGUCGUGAGGAAGGUAGUGUAGUUAAUAGCUGCAUUAUUUGACGUUAGCGACAGAAGAAGCACCGGCUAACUCCGUGCCAGCAGCCGCGGUAAUACGGAGGGUGCGAGCGUUAAUCGGAAUUACUGGGCGUAAAGCGCAUGCAGGUGGUUUGUUAAGUCAGAUGUGAAAKCCCGGGGCUCAACCUCGGAAUUGCAUUUGAAACUGGCAGACUAGAGUACUGUAGAGGGGGGUAGAAUUUCAGGUGUAGCGGUGAAAUGCGUAGAGAUCUGAAGGAAUACCGGUGGCGAAGGCGGCC